GCUGCUUUCACCGGGACCCACGGGGUGAUGGCGAAAGGAAGAGGCUUGAGCCUGUUCUGUACGGGGUUCUGAGCAACCUGGUGUAGUCAAUGGCGUCCCUGCUUAUGGCAUCAGUCUCCAGGUUACUUCACCAGCAUAGAACAUGGUGUACUGGUUGAAGCCUACGUUGGUAAUGCAGUAACUUCCCAGCAGCCACUUAUGAACAUCAGCAAGGAGUCCUUCAUAAGAAAUUGUAAAUGCAGACAAGAACUAAUCUCAUUCUUUGGAGUAUGCUACUAUGGGGCACUUCAUAUAAGG